rnacentral:rRNA from 1 species
UACGAAGGGUGCAAGCGUUGCUCGGAAUCACUGGGCGUAAAGCGCACGUAGGCGGCUUCUUAAGUCAGGGGUGAAAUCCUGGAGCUCAACUCCAGAACUGCCUUUGAUACUGGGGAGCUCGAGUCCGGGAGAGGUGAGUGGAACUGCGAGUGUAGAGGUGAAAUUCGUAGAUAUUCGCAAGAACACCAGUGGCGAAGGCGGCUCACUGGCCCGGUACUGACGCUGAGGCGCGAAAGCCAGGGGAGCAAACGGG